UGGGGAAUUUUGGACAAUGGGCGCAAGCCUGAUCCAGCCAUGCCGCGUGCGGGAAGAAGGCCUUCGGGUUGUAAACCGCUUUUGUCAGGGAAGAAAUCUUCUGAGUUAAUACCUCGGGAGGAUGACGGUACCUGAAGAAUAAGCACCGGCUAACUACGUGCCAGCAGCCGCGGUAAUACGUAGGGUGCAAGCGUUAAUCGGAAUUACUGGGCGUAAAGCGUGCGCAGGCGGUUUUGUAAGACAGAGGUGAAAUCCCCGGGCUCAACCUGGGAACUGCCUUUGUGACUGCAAGGCUUGAGUGCGGCAGAGGGGGGAUGGAAUUCCGCGUGUAGCAGUGAAAUGCGUAGAUAUGCGGAGGAACACCGAUGGCGAAGGCAAUCCCCUGGGCCUGCACUGACGCUCAUGCACGAAAGCGUGGGGAGCAAACAGGAUUAGAUACCCUGGUAGUCCACGCCCUAAACGAUGUCAACUGGUUGUUGGGAAGGUUCCUUCUCAGUAACGUAGCUAACGCGUGAAGUUGACCGCCUGGGGAGUACGGCCGCAAGGUUGAAACUCAAAUGAAUUGA
rnacentral:rRNA from 1 species